GACGUAGGAGGCGAGCGUUGUCCGGAUUCAUUGGGCGUAAAGAGCACGCAGGCGGUUUGGCAAGUCGGAUGUGAAAACCCGAAGCUCAACUUCGGGCCUGCAUCCGAAACUGCCCGACUAGAGGUAGGUAGGGGAGAUCGGAAUUCCUGGUGUAGCGGUGAAAUGCGCAGAUAUCAGGAGGAACACCGGUGGCGAAAGCGCGCGACUGGACCGAGACUGACACUGAGGGACGAAAGCUAGGGGAGCGAAAGGG
rnacentral:rRNA from 1 species